rnacentral:rRNA from 1 species
GACGAACGCUGGCGGCGUGCCUAAUACAUGCAAGUCGAACGCUGGAAAUCUACCUUGCUAGUUUGCAGGAGUGGCGAACGGGUGAGUAACACAUAAGCAACCUACCCCAGAAGACGGGGAUAAUCUCUGAAAACGGGGAAUACUACCGGGUAGGUAAUCGGAAGGCAUCUUCUGAUUAUUAAAGGUGAAAAACACUGGUGGAUGGGCUUAUGGCGGAUUAGUUAGUUGGUGAGGUAACGGUCCACCCGGACGAUGACGCGUAGCCGGGCGGAGAGGGUGAACGGCCAGAGUGUGACUGAGACCCGGCGCAGACUCCUACGGGAGGGAGCAGUAGGGGAGGCUCGGCAAUGGGGGAAUGCCUGACCGAGCAACGCCGCGUGAGGGAAGGCGGCGUUCGGGUUGUAAAGCUCUGUGGUAAGGGAAGAACGGUAGAUAGAGAAUGCCUAAGUGACGGUACCUUACCAGAAAGCCACGGCUAACUACGUG